GAUGAACGCUGGCGGCGUGCCUAAUACAUGCAAGUCGAGCGAACGGACGAGAAGCUUGCUUCUCUGAUGUUAGCGGCGGACGGGUGAGUAACACGUGGAUAACCUACCUAUAUGACUGGGAUAACUUCGGGAAACCGGAGCUAAUACCGGAUAAUAUUUUGAACCGCAUGGUUCAAAAGUGAAAGACGGUCUUGCUGUCACUUAUAGAUGGAUCCGCGCUGCAUUAGCUAGUUGGUAAGGUAACGGCUUACCAAGGCAACGAUGCAUAGCCGACCUGAGAGGGUGAUCGGCCACACUGGAACUGAGACACGGUCCAGACUCCUACGGGAGGCAGCAGUAGGGAAUCUUCCGCAAUGGGCGAAAGCCUGACGGAGCAACGCCGCGUGAGUGAUGAAGGUCUUCGGAUCGUAAAACUCUGUUAUUAGGGAAGAACAUAUGUGUAAGUAACUGUGCACAUCUUGACGGUACCUAAUCAGAAAGCCACGGCUAACUACGUGCCAGCAGCCGCGGUAAUACGUAGGUGGCAAGCGUUAUCCGGAAUUAUUGGGCGUAAAGCGCGCGUAGGCGGUUUUUUAAGUCUGAUGUGAAAGCCCACGGCUCAACCGUGGAGGGUCAUUGGAAACUGGAAAACUUGAGUGCAGAAGAGGAAAGUGGAAUUCCAUGUGUAGCGGUGAAAUGCGCAGAGAUAUGGAGGAACACCAGUGGCGAAGGCGACUUUCUGGUCUGUAACUGACGCUGAUGUGCGAAAGCGUGGGGAUCAAACAGGAUUAGAUACCCUGGUAGUCCACGCCGUAAACGAUGAGUGCUAAGUGUUAGGGGGUUUCCGCCCCUUAGUGCUGCAGCUAACGCAUUAAGCACUCCGCCUGGGGAGUACGACCGCAAGGUUGAAACUCAAAGGAAUUGACGGGGACCCGCACAAGCGGUGGAGCAUGUGGUUUAAUUCGAAGCAACGCGAAGAACCUUACCAAAUCUUGACAUCCUUUGACAACUCUAGAGAUAGAGCUUUCCCCUUCGGGGGACAAAGUGACAGGUGGUGCAUGGUUGUCGUCAGCUCGUGUCGUGAGAUGUUGGGUUAAGUCCCGCAACGAGCGCAACCCUUAAGCUUAGUUGCCAUCAUUAAGUUGGGCACUCUAAGUUGACUGCCGGUGACAAACCGGAGGAAGGUGGGGAUGACGUCAAAUCAUCAUGCCCCUUAUGAUUUGGGCUACACACGUGCUACAAUGGACAAUACAAAGGGCAGCGAAACCGCGAGGUCAAGCAAAUCCCAUAAAGUUGUUCUCAGUUCGGAUUGUAGUCUGCAACUCGACUACAUGAAGCUGGAAUCGCUAGUAAUCGUAGAUCAACAUGCUACGGUGAAUACGUUCCCGGGUCU
rnacentral:rRNA from 1 species